GACGAGGGGUCCUAGCGUUGUUCGGAAUCACUGGGCGUAAAGCGUUCGUAGGCGGCUCUAUAAGUCGGGUGUGAAAUCCCACGGCUCAACCGUGGAAGUGCAUUCGAAACUGCAGAGCUUGAAUAUGGUAGAGGGUAGUAGAAUUCCUGGUGUAGUGGUGAAAUACGUAGAUAUCAGGAGGAAUACCAGUGGCGAAGGCGAUCAUCUGGGACUAACCUGACGCUGAGGAGCGAAAGCCAGGGGAGCAAACGGG
rnacentral:rRNA from 1 species